rnacentral:lncRNA from 1 species
CCGAAUCACACUCACUUAAAAACAACAAUCUAAACCUUCCUCACGGGCGUGCAUUCUAGAGAGCGGAUCUGGAUCCGGAUCCGGAUCCAGCGCGCUCCGAAACUGGCCGGGCCUGAUCCAAGCCAUAGCGGCAGUGGUUCCUAACGGCCCAAAUCUGGUAGGGCGCGGUGUCGAGAGCGAGCCACUGCUCCACCUCAAACUCAUCCUUAGCACAAGUUGCGUGGGGCCCGGUGGAGGUGACUUCGACGUAGUUAAGGUACCAGCCGUGGUGCGAACCGGAUCCGUCAGAAGUAACGUUGACGGCACAAACGGCUCCUUCAAGACAGGGUCCCGUUCCGCUGAAGAUGUCGAGGUUGCCGCGCUCGAAGUAAUUGUGACUCUUUCCCAUCAAACCGCCCCACGCUUCGAGGUUUUUAAUGUAGAUGUAGUAGCCGAACUUGUCGUACAACUUGAUCCCGAUCUUGGAGUCCGUUCCGCCCUUAACCACCGAUCCGGUUCUAAUGUACGCCGUGUAGACGCAAUCG